AUAUUUCAAUUUGUUUUUUAGUUUUAUUACUUUUCUUUUAUUUUCUUCAGGUCAAGUCAUGCCCUCGGCUUAUUGACGCAUGGACUGCAGGUUGGGCACAGAAUUUUGUUGAGGAUGGAUUCAUGUCAAUGGCAAAAAGAAGCACAGAAAAUGAAGAGAAGGAGAAAUGCUUGGUCGGAAAAUGCCGAGAGGCACUUUUUGGAAAUAUGGGAGGAAAGACUGCCACAAUUACGGGGCGCCCGACGGAACGCACAUAUUUUCAAUGAGAUGGCCACAAAACUUCAGAAUAGGGGUUUUCUGGUCACUUCGUUAGAAGUGCAAACGAAGGUCCACAACUUUACACAAAGAUAGGAAAGAACAGCAGUGUGUUGGAGUUUCGGGAGGGGCGCCAUCCGACUGGAAGUACUUUCAUAUAUUGAAAAGAUUCCUAGGCAAUUUGCCC